rnacentral:rRNA from 1 species
AGAUCAAAUUGUUGGUCGUGCCUCGGUACGUACUGGCAUUAUUGAUUUCUCCCUUCUGAAGAACCACGAUGUCAUUAAUUUGGUGUCGUGGGGAAUCAGGACUGUUACUUUGAAAAAAUUAGAGUGUUUAAAGCAGGCUCACGCUUGAAUACAUUAGCAUGGAAUAAUGAAAUAGGACGUUUGAUUCUAUUUUGUUGGUUAUAAAGCCGAGGUA